GUGCAGUACUAUGUUUCAGUUAUAGCACUGCAUGCUCUCAUUUAAAUCUGAAAUAGAAAUAUACUCUGUACAGGAAAAAAGUGUUCCACAUAAACCGCCUAAUCAACAUUUAUUGUUUAGUAGUGUGAAACUGUUGCAGUCCAUGUAAAUACAUCUUUGAUCAAUUAUUUCAUGAUUGUCCCCUUUUCAGAGUAAAGCUCCUGACCGGCCAGAAGAAUAAGCAGCUGGAGGAUCUUGCUCUUUGUAGAGAGGAGAGAAAAAGCCUGAGAGAGGCUGCGGAGCGCCUGGCUGAUAAAUAUGAAGAUGCCAAGUACCGUCAAGAAGCCAUUAUUAACAGAGUAAAACAGGUUUUGGGAAGUCUGCGGAGUCAACUUCCUGUGCUGUCAGACAGUGAGAAGGACAUGAGGAAGGAACUGCAAACCAUCCAUGAUCAGCUCCGUCACCUUGACAACGGCAUUAAACA